rnacentral:rRNA from 1 species
GACGAACGCUGGCGGCGUGCUUAACACAUGCAAGUCGAACGAUAUUCAUUAGAAGAGUUUUUUUCGGAAUGAUUCUUUUGAUGAAAGUGGCGAACGGGUGAGUAACGCGUGGGCAACCUGCCUCAAACAGGGGGACAACACCGGGAAACUGGUGCUAAUACCGCAUAAGACAACAGCAAGGCAUCUUGCAGUUGGAAAAGGAGUUAAAUCCAGUUUGAGAUGGGCCCGCGUCUGAUUAGCUAGUUGGUAAGGUAACGGCUUACCAAGGCGAUGAUCAGUAGCCGAACUGAGAGGUUGAUCGGCCACAUUGGGACUGAGACACGGCCCAAACUCCUACGGGAGGCAGCAGUGGGGAAUAUUGCACAAUGGGGGAAACCCUGAUGCAGCAACGCCGCGUGAAGGAUGAAGGCCCUUGGGUUGUAAACUUCUUUGAUCAGGGAAGAAAGAAAUGACGGUACCUGAAUAACAAGCCACGGCUAACUACGUG